GUGCGGAAAGGCCCCUUCGGGGGCACUCGAGCGGCGAAAGGGAGAGUAACGCGUGGACUACCUACCCCUGGGUUCGGGAUAGCUGCGGGAAACUGCAGGUAAUACCGGAUAACGUCUCCGGACCAAAGGUGUGAUUCCGCCUGGGGACGGGUCCGCGUCCUAUUAGCUUGUUGGUGGGGUAACGGCUUACCAAGGCUACGAUGGGUACCGGGUGUGAGAGCAUGGCCCGGCUCACUGGGACUGAGACACUGCCCAGACACCUACGGGUGGCUGCAGUCGAGAAUCUUCGGCAAUGGGCGCAAGCCUGACCGAGCGACGCCGCGUGCGGGAUGAAGGCUUUCGGGUUGUAAACCGCUGUCAGUUGGGAGGAAAUCCAGUGGGGUUCUCUCCACUGGUUGACCUAGCUUCAGAGGAAGGACGGGCUAAGUUCGUGCCAGCAGCCGCGGUAACACGAACCGUCCUAACGUUAUCCGGAAUCACUGGGUUUAAAGGGUGCGUAGGCGGCGUUAUAAGUCAGAGGUGAAAGCUUGCAGCUUAACUGUAAAAUUGCCUCUGAUACUGUAGUGCUUGAAUCACGUUGAGGUCGGCGGAAUGUGACAUGUAGCGGUGAAAUGCAUAGAUAUGUCAUAGAACACCAAUUGCGAAGGCAGCUGACUGGGCGUGUAUUGACGCUGAGGCACGAA
rnacentral:rRNA from 1 species